GAUGAACGCUGGCAGCGUGCCUAAUACAUGCAAGUCGAGCGAACAGACGAGGAGCUUGCUCCUCUGACGUUAGCGGCGGACGGGUGAGUAACACGUGGAUAACCUACCUAUAAGACUGGGAUAACUUCGGGAAACCGGAGCUAAUACCGGAUACUAUAUUGAACCGCAUGGUUCAAUAGUGAAAGACGGUUUUGCUGUCACUUAUAGAUGGAUCCGCGCCGCAGUAGCUAGGGGGUAAGGUAACGGCUUACCAAGGCAACGAUGCGUAGCCGACCUGAGAGGGUGAGCGGCCACACUGGAACUGAGAUACGGUCCAGAGUCAUACGGGAGGCAGCAGUAGGGAAUCGUGCGCCAUGGGCGAAAGCCUGACGGAGCAACGCCGCGUGAGUGAUGAAGGUCUUCGGAUCGUAAAACUCUGUUAUUAGGGAAGAACAAAUGUGUAAGUAACUAUGCACGUAUUGACGGUACCUAAUCAGAAAGCCACGGCUAACUACGUG
rnacentral:rRNA from 1 species